CUGCCCACUGCUGCCCCAUCCACCCCACUCCGGAGGAUACCUGACCACAUGCAGCCAUUUCACUCUGCUUGAACACCACAGGACCAACCCAGUCCUGAGGUUGCUUCUCUUCCUAAUCCCAGACCAAUGCCAGCAAGAAACCUGGGUGCCUUCACCUGCUGCUGCCAGGAGCAUUGGAGAGCACCUACUUGAAGCACCCCACGUGUCCAUGGCAAACUGAAGACCAGCCAAAAAUGACCAACAGCUGAGUAGUUAUAGCAGGCAGAAUGGAGAUCACCCUGAGAGUGCCUGUAGCAGUAGGAAAUUUGUUGGAAAAAAUACCCUGUGCUAAGGCAGAGGAGAAGCUCCACAUUGGUCCCUGCCAAUCUGAUUAUCUGGAUUGUUUCUUCUUCUUCCAGUCUCUGGAUCUGGCUUGUUUAACCCCAAACCUAUGACUGACAGAUAAUGAGGCACCUGGGCAGAGAAAGGCACCAGCAACAUCUGCUGAGCUGAUCCAAAUGCAGACCUGGCCUGCACAGUUUGGGGAAAACACCUUCUUUCUGCUGGCCACAGCACCUUCAAGGCAGCAGCUUUUUCCUGCAACCCCCCAAAAUGCCCAGGUCUCCCACGCCUUUUCACAUUUUGCGAAGCCUGUCAAGAAGCAGCACAGGGAGGAAAACUGAACCAGAAAAUAUGGGAGGCACAUGUGCACAUCUGAUUAACCCGACUUUUUAUGAUAAACAAAGCAGCUCAAGGGCCCUGUUCCCUCUGUCCCCACAAUAAAUCUCCUGGUUUUACUGUUUUAUGAUGUCAAACAACUAGGAGUUUUCCUCUGCUUGCAAAUAGAACAUAAAUUACCUUGGGUAAACUCCAUGGAGGCUAAUGUUAUCUAUAAAAUCCUGGCACUAAUAACUUCAUGGAAAGUCUAAGGGCUUCCCAUUUUAUAUGAGUAAUGCUAAUUAGCACUGUAACCAGGAGGCAUCUAGAUUGGGAAGAUAAAGUACCGCACUGUGAGCACCGUAACUGUAGCUACUUUGGAUGCCAAAAUCGACAGUGACUCUGACCUGAGGUUUUGGGUACAGGCUUGCAGCAUCUCAAUAGAACAUGAAAGGCAUCCAUCCUCCUUUUAUCCCAUCAAAGUCAAAGACAUCUCACCUGGGUGUAAAGUAAAUGUACUAAG